rnacentral:rRNA from 1 species
GGCAGGCCYAACACAUGCAAGUCGAGCGCACUCUUCGGAGUGAGCGGCGGACGGGUUAGUAACGCGUGGGAACAUACCCUUUUCUACGGAAUAGCCUCGGGAAACUGAGAGUAAUACCGUAUACGCCCUUCGGGGGAAAGAUUUAUCGGUGAAGGAUUGGCCCGCGUAAGAUUAGAUAGUUGGUGGGGUAAUGGCCUACCAAGUCUACGAUCUUUAGCUGGUUUGAGAGGAUGAUCAGCAACACUGGGACUGAGACACGGCCCAGACUCCUACGGGAGGCAGCAGUGGGGAAUCUUAGACAAU